GCACGUUUCUAGUCAGAUCAUCAAAGUCGUCUCCACCAAAUCGAUAGUUAUCAUCUCAUCGAAAGAUCGGGACCCUCGCCUCUAUCAGAGAGUUGAAGCUGCAAAGAAGCGUGAUGAGGAAAAAGCUGAAUUUAUGACUGACAGAUUACAUGCUGGUUUCUUACUGCUUAGGUUUCGACAUUCGACAUUUGAACAAAUCAUAUACUGGAGAUUAUUAUAAUAGAAGAGUGCAGGGAAAUGUAUGAGGUGAAUCAAUUUUCCUAUUCUGUUGUUGCUGCUAUAUUCAGGUGUAUGUGGGUUUAAGAUUGGCCACUAAUUGUUGAACCAGGAGCUUUCCCUCAUUAGGAAUAUAAGCUGAAACUUUCCCAUUGCCUUGAUUCUUUGUAGGAAAGACAUACAAGAUGACCAGGAACCAUGAAGCUCGCAGUUUGCGUUAACUGUGUAAUGGAGUGGACUAUGAAAAGCUGGACAUGUGUCGAUUAGCUAUCAUAUAUGGUUUCUCGGUCAAGUGGAUAUUCUGUGUAAUGGAAGACGCGUGAUUUGUAGGACAUAUAUCUAUUGGCUAUCAUUUUGUAAACCUAUCCGGUCUCUCGAUCACUGAACCAUAAAUGUUUCCUCUUAAUUGGCUACCUCCUCCGUUUGUGAGAAGUAAUUAAUGUGCUAUUUUUGUUUGGUUUUGGUUUAAUAUUUUUGGAGUACAUGCAUGUUACUU